rnacentral:rRNA from 1 species
GACGAACGCUGGCGGCGUGCCUAAUACAUGCAAGUCGAACGCAGUGGGGACGGGUGAGUAACACGUGGGUAACCUCCCAUCAGAGGGGAUAACACUUGGCAACAGGUGCUAAACCGAUACUGAUGGAUGGACCCGCGGUGCAUUAGCUCGUUGGUGAGGUAACGGCCCACCAAGGCCACGAGGCAUAGCCGCCCUGAGAGGGUGAGAGGCCACACUGGGACGUACACACGGCCCAGACUCCUGCGGGAGGCAGCAGUAGGGAAUCUUAGGCAAUGGACGAAAGUCUGACCGAGCAACGCCGCGUGAGUGAAGAAGGUUGUCGGAUCGUAAAACUCUGUUGUUAGAGAAGCGGUAUCUAACCAGAAAGCCACGGCUAACUACGUGACAGCAGCCGCGGUAUA